AUGGUUUCUGCAGCUAGGAGAGGAGAAGACCAAAUCAGAACAUGCAUAUUGAUCCCAGCUAUGCAUCAAAGAUGGUCAGACUCUGGUAUUUUAUAUAUUCCAUCUACAGAAGAGACUAGAAACAUAGAUUCCAAAAUGUAAAUCUGACAUCCUGCUGGAAAUUAUCACAGCUGCUUUGAUUUUCAACAAUGCAGCUGGUGGUUGGACCCAUUUAAUUGUG
rnacentral:lncRNA from 1 species